rnacentral:rRNA from 1 species
CGCAGCCGCGGUAAUUCCAGCUCCAAUAGCGUAUAUUAAAGUUGUUGCAGUUAAAAAGCUCGUAGUUGAAUUUCGGGAUCAGCAGGUCGGUCGUGCCACUGGUAUGCACUGGCCUUGCUGAUUCCUCCCUCUUGAUGAGCCGUAAUGCCAUUAAUUUGGUGUUGCGGGGAAUCAGGACUGUUACUUUGAAAAAAUUUAGAGUGUUUAAAGCAGGCAUGCGCUUGAAUACAUUAGCAUGGAAUAAUGAAAUAGGACGUUCGAUCCUAUUUUGUUGGUUUCUAGGAUUGACGUAAUGAUUAAUAGGGAUAGUUGGGGGCAUUAGUAUUCAAUUGUCAGAGGUGAAAUUCUUGGAUUUAUUGAAGACUAACUACUGCGAAAGCAUUUGCCAAGGAUGUUUUCAUUAAUCAAGAACGAAAGUUAGGGGAUCGAAGACGAUCAGAUACCGUCGUAGUCUUAACCAUAAACUAUGCCGACUAGGGAUCGGAUGAUGUUAAUUUUUUAAUGACUCAUUCGGCGCCUU